CCUACGGGAGGCAGCAGUGAGGAAUAUUGGUCAAUGGGCGCGAGCCUGAACCAGCCAAGUCGCGUGAGGGAAGACGGUCCUAUGGAUUGUAAACCUCUUUUGUCGGGGAGCAAAAGACGCCACGCGUGGCGUUCCGAGAGUACCCGAAGAAAAAGCAUCGGCUAACUCCGUGCCAGCAGCCGCGGUAAUACGGAGGAUGCGAGCGUUAUCCGGAUUUAUUGGGUUUAAAGGGUGCGCAGGCGGAAGAUCAAGUCAGCGGUAAAAUUGAGAGGCUCAACCUCUUCGAGCCGUUGAAACUGGUGUUCUUGAGUGAGCGAGAAGUAUGCGGAAUGAGUGGUGUAGCGGUGAAAUGCAUAGAUAUCACGCAGAACUCCGAUUGCGAAGGCAGCAUACCGGCGCUCAACUGACGCUCAUGCACGAAAGUGUGGGUAUCGAACAGGAUUAGAUACCCGGGUAGUC
rnacentral:rRNA from 1 species